CACUGAUCCACUUCAAGUCAGAGUGAUUUUCUGCCUAGCACACAGACUGGAGCACUGAAGACUAUAAAUGCCAGAUCCCUGCUCCCAUACCAUCUUUUAUCCUCCACUCAGCCUCAGUCUGUUAUCCUUUUAAAACUUUGUUUAGCAUCUGUGAGCUUCCUGUGUCUCAUUCAUCUCUGUGUUCCAAGGAAAGCAUCUGGCUUAGAGCAGGUCAGUCUAAUGAAGUUUUUCACUGGCAUGAAAAAUAAGGAGAGUGAUAAGGGCCCUGGUUAGAUUUCCAUAGAACUAAAUGUGUUUAGUUUCUCUUCUGCAAUUAUAUACUUGGAACUUGGGGCUUAUUCAAAUAAUCUUUCAUUUC
rnacentral:lncRNA from 1 species